rnacentral:rRNA from 1 species
AUACGUAGGUGGAAAGCGUUGUCCGGAUUUACUGGGUGUAAAGGGCGUGUAGGCGGAGAUGCAAGCCAGGAGUGAAAUCUAGGGGCUCAACCCCUAAACUGCUUUUGAAACUGUAUCCCUUGAGUAUCGGAGAGGCAGGGGGACUCUCUAGUGUUGCGGUGAAAUGCGUAGACAUUAGGAGGAACACCAGUGGUGAAGGCGGCCUGCUGGACGACAACUGACGCUGAGGCGCGAAAGCGUGGGGAGCAAACAGGAUUAGAUACCCUGGUAGUCCACGCUGUAAACGAUGAAUACUAGGUGUGGGGGGACUGACCCCCUCCGUGCCGCAGUUAACACAAUAAGUAUUCCACCUGGGGAGUACGAUCGCAAGAUUGAAACUCAAAUGAAUUGACGGGG